CUGCCCGGCCGGCCCCGAAGGGCUGCGUGGGAUGGAGCCCAUAGGGCCCUAUAGCGGAGCGCGGGGGGCGUGGUCCCCGCCGGUGUGUGCGGGAUGUGGCGCGUGGGGUCACUGUCCCUAUAUUGCUGCUCAAGGCUUUGUUCCCUAUAGUGAUGCGUGGUGCCCGUAGGCAUGGGAUGUGCAGAGGAUGUGGUCCCAUUGGGACAGCCGGCUGUACAGACCCUAUAGGGGUACCGGGGACAGCGGUGCCCACAGGGGCAUGAGGGGAAGGGUGUAUGGCAGCUGUAGCUGUACAGUCUGUGCAGUCACUCUAAGUGUGUAGGCACUGGACAUGCGAUUGUGUGUGAAGUUACAGUCUUCAUAAGUGCAUGCAGGGAAUAUGGUGAUCCCUGUGGAUUUUGAGGGCUAUGAAGACCUUGUAGGUGUGUAUCAGUAUUAAGCACCCUGUGGAUGUACGCUGGUUAUGUUCCCUGUCAGUGGGAUGUACGGUCCAUGUGGAUGAUGUGAGUGACCUAUAAAUGUAGGCAGGCUUGGUGUGAGACUGUGCAGUCGGGUGUGAGAUGCCACGGUUGAUGGAGCCCAUGUGUCUGAGCGGGGCAGCCAAGGAGCAGAGCUCCAUUACCUCCUCCAGAGGUUUGUGUCCCAGGACAGUGGUCCCAAUACAACACAGUGCUGGGCAAAGUCCUGGUGCUUCCCCCACGUCCCACUGCAAACUGAAGGAAAGCCUUUAUAAACAUUUCCCAAAGACGUGCAAGGCACUGCCAGCUGUAAGGACACACAGAGGACAGAGAGGAAUCACAGCGUGGAGCAGCACGCAGGCAGAGAAUAACAGUGAAGUUAGUUCAAGUUUGGGACAGCCGAGCACAGAGAGAGAUGAUGAAUUGUGGACAUGCAGAGAGGUUUUGGAGAAGCCAGGCGGAGAAAAUACUGAGUUUAGAUGAAGUCCCAGGAUGCUCAAAGUGAGCUGUGCCACUAAAGAUAAUCUUGAAACCUGGAGCUGAAGCAGUAAGGCAGAAGCAACAUCCAAUUAAACUAGAGACUAGGGAGGGUCUCUAAGAAAAUUUGGCUUAUUAGUAACCUAAAAAUAAUAUUGCUGUGUUGCCAGUGAAGAAACCAAAUGGGAAGGGGUACAGGUUAGGCAAGUAUCUAAGAGCAAUGAGUCAGAUCCCACAGGAAAUACAGCUGGUAGUAGCAAAUCCUUGUACUUGCUAAUGGCUCUGUAGGAGCAGCGCAGGGGGUGAAUGGUAUUAGGUCUGAAGGACGCUUUCUUCUGAAUAUCUCUGCAUGUGGCAAGUCAGGCAAUGUUCACCUUUGGGUGGGAAAAUCCAGAGGCAAAUCGGAAGAAGCCAAUUGGCUAAGGAACUGUAGAUAUGGAAGAAGGAGCCUUCACAGGGAGCCUCGGUGUUACUGCAAUACAUGGAUAUCAUUCUCCUGGCUGUAGAAACUAAAGAAUGUGCAUGCAUGACUGAUAGUUUGCUGAGCUUCCAGGAAGAGGAGGAUGACGUGUAUCAAAAAGGAAAGACACAGGUGAAUAAAGAAAUGGUUAUCUAUCUAGGAUUUGAGAUUUUACAGGAGCAACUUUCUGUGUCAUUAAUACUUGUAAAGGACAGCUAAGUCAUCAGGCAGCCCUGUUGUUGGUGCCGUGGGGAGGAAAGAGAGCAGGCCGUUCUUUCAACCUCUAUGUCUUCAGCUCUUGUGUACGCCUGAAUGCUCUGUGCUGCUUUUAGGUAGAGAUAUACUGACCAAGUUAUAAGGCUGUGGAGGCCCAGGUCUUUGUCUUACAGGAAUCAUCUCUUGAAUCUGAAGUACAUGGAGAGGUAGAGAAGAUGGUAAAGCCAAUGCUGUGGGCUGCAGAAACCCAAGGAUGAUCAAGGAACUGAGGUCUGCAUAGAGGCCUUGCUUUAGAAUCAUGGAAUCAUAGAAUGGCUUGGGUUGAAAAGGGCCACAAUGCUCAUUGGUUCCAACCCCCUGCUCUGUGCAGGGUCGCCAACCAGCAGACCAGGCUGCCCAGAGCCACAUCCAGCCUGGCCUUGAAUGCCUCCUGGGAUGGGGCACCCACAGCCUCCUUGGGCAAUCCCUCUAGGAAGGCGACUUACUGCUCCAGGGGAAAGCCAGCAUCCUCACACUCGUGGGCAAGGCUCCCUGCCCGAGGCAGUCAGGAACUUGUUGAAGUCCUAUCUUCUUGAGACAUAGACUCUAUUGACACUCCUCUGUCCUUAUGCCAAGUGUUACAGUGACAUAGAAAUUGUCUUGUGAAACAACAUCCCCUGGAGAAGAGCACCGAGCAGGAAGUAUUCUGCCCUACAGAAUAUUUUGGGUCAGAAAAUUACCUUUUUAGUGCACCUGGACAGAACUCCAGCACUGGCUGAGAUUGAGCUCCACUUGCCAUUGUGGUACUGCUUAGACCAUACUGGAUGGAGGCAAUGAGACAUCCAGGCACCCCUCCCUCCUCCUGCUCCGUUUAUCCAUGAGCAUGCUAAAGGACAAAGCCUCCACAGAUCUCCUUUAUAACCCCAUUGCCUCUCCCUUAGCCAAAAUAUCGGGAUGGAAAGAGCUGAAAGGUGUUGCAGAAGGAUGGAAUCAGUCCCUGAGGAGCAAUAUCUGAUUUCUGGAACAUUUCUGGGCUUGCAGCUGCAUUGCUGCUGCAGAAGCAGGGGACAGCAGCUGAGAUGCUCGCAGCAGAGCAGGACUGCCUUCCCACCUAGAAGUCACUACGAGAUCUCCAGCGCUUUUAUCUCACGUCCCAUCCUCCCAGGCUGUUUUGAUCAGUGUGCACGGUUCGGAGCUGUUGCCUUGUUUAUCUGCUGUGCUGGGUGCUUUCAUCUCUCUCCUGGAAACCCGGCGGCUGCCGGCAGUGAAGGGAAGUACAGUUUCAGUGCCUUCUGUUAAACUGUACCCAGAUCUGCUCACCUUUCGCCUCCUUUCCCUGCCACCACUUGUCGGACUCUGAUGACUUUGUGAGGAGUUUGUAAUGAGUCUGAUGUGCUCAAAAGCUGAUUCUUCCCCGCCAGGGGAUUAAAUUGUGACCGUGAAUCUUUAUUAAAAUGAGCUCGGCACUUUGAACCUAAUUUUUUCUUCUAAAAUUAAUGUAGCUACAAAAAGCCAGUAACAGGAGUUUGGGGGAUUGUUUCUAUGAAGCUGUUUUUUUUUUUUUUUUUUUUCCCCUUGCUUGACUCAAUAUAGGUUUGCUUUAUGAUUGUAGUGAGACAGGGAGUGGAUCUUCGGUCCGUUUUAAUUGGAGAGCUGCUCAGUUUCAGCUGCAGGAGAGACAGUGAAUGGAAACCAGUCAAGGAAAGACGG
ensembl:lncRNA